UACGGAGGGUGCGAGCGUUAAUCGGAAUUACUGGGCGUAAAGCGUGCGUAGGCGGUUACGUAAGUCGGAUGUGAAAUCCCCGGGCUCAACCUGGGAAUUGCAUUCGAGACUGUGUAGCUGGGGUGCGGAAGAGGGAAGCGGAAUUUCCGGUGUAGCGGUGAAAUGCGUAGAUAUCGGAAGGAACAUCAGUGGCGAAAGCGGCUUCCUUGUCCAGCACCUACGUUCAGGCACGAAAGCGUGGGGAGCAAACAGG
rnacentral:rRNA from 1 species